CUCUGAGCGGGCUGGCAAUAAUAGCUGGAAUUACCGUCAGAUGGUUCGGUGGUGAUAAUCGGUUUUCUGAGC
rnacentral:snoRNA from 1 species